rnacentral:rRNA from 1 species
AUGCCAACAGAAGGCCACAUGCGCAAACAACCGACAGCUCCGACUCUGACGACGAUCAUCACAAGAAAAAUAUGCAGGACUUGCGCCGACCGUGCCCUAAAGAGCACCUCGGACACGCCAGGAAGAUCCGACUAUCGAAGCCCGAGCCGCGACCAGAGUUCCUCUCGACGCCAUCAUCGUUACCAAAAAGAAAUCAGCGCCCCCGAAAAGGCCGCCUCAGCAAACCACGCGGCAAAGAUGCCGCAACCCACGCGGCGAAGAUGCCGCCAUCCACCGGUCUCCCAGUCAUUGCCGGCUCCGAGACGAUGCCCCCAAGGAGGAGAAAGACGCGAAGACGCCUCCAUCGCCCGAUCCAGCGGAUCUGAGGAUUCCCUCCGGAGCCAAAGCCGUGGGGAGAAGCAGGAGCACCUCCACGAUGACGCUUCCAAGAAAGAUGCCGCGGGCGCCGCCGUCACCGGCUCCGAAGAAGACCGGAGCAAGGAUUUCUCCCGGAGAUGA